UUGUUAACCCAACCUGUAAAUGGUGAAUGUACACUAGAUUGCGGUAAAUUGCCGCGUGCCGUUUAGGCCGCCCAUUGUGACUCGCUUGCUGGCAGCAUGAUCGAUUGUGCGUCAAUUGUCCACAUGGCUGGGAGAACCUAUUCAAGUAGCUAGCCAACAGCCAUGGAGGAGGGUGAAAGGAUAGCAGCCCCAACUGUCAAAGUGAGAGAGUAGGCUAUUCUGGAUAGGGCAGGUAACGUUAUUUUUGUGUAGUUCCUGUCCCUAAAAGUGAGGACAGAGAUAAUAUUAACAUAAUAUUCAGUGCGGUGUAAUUUGACUAUAAUGAAGUCUGUUUCUUGUGAGGUUUUCUGUCCUCAGAUAAAGAGGGCUAUGAAAGCCUGUCUACAUAUGAAGAGGUCCCAAUGAAGAGCAGUGGUUCUCAGUCCUGGUCCUGGGGACUCAUUUUUGUUUUUGCAUUAGCACUGCACAGCUGAUUCAAAAUUCAAAUGAUCAACUUAUCAUCCAGCUUCAAGUGAUUCCUUGUAACUGGAGAUUCCUUCAAAACGGUUGCCUACAGUUACUGUGUAGGGCACUGCAAUGUUGGGUGACCAGGGCUAUCUGAGACUGCCUCCUGGAUAAAUUCAGGUGUGUGAAGGCUACCCAGUGUCCUGCAUAACUUCAUGAAGAUGGACACGAGAUCCAGGAGGGGAUCUGCAGCUCGCCGUCGUGUGCCAGAGGAGAAGUCUUCUGCUCUGCAGGAUGUUUCAAGGAUGGGGUCCAACAAUACAGCAAGAGAGGCAAUCCGUGUGCAGGAGAUCUUCACCUCCUACUUCUUCGAAGAGGGUGCUGUUCCCUGGCAACACCAUAGACCACACUGUGCACAACCAAAGUCUAUUGUAUGAGUCAUUCACAUUGCAAUUACGAGUCUUCUUCCAUUUACUUAGCUAUGUCAACUGCAGUUAUUCAAUUCUCUGUUUCUCUCCCUUUGAUUUCUACUUCUCAUGUGAGGGUGCUGUUUAGGUAAGGGUCUGUACAAAAACAAAACAGGCUAUUUCAGAUCACCCAUAUUGAAAAAAUGUAGAACAAUUAGACACCCUAUAACCCACACCUACACACUCAUGUAUCAAUCUGAUUGAUUGAUUGUGUUGUGCACUAAGUAGGCUCGUGUGUAUAACUAUGUUUUUUUUCUACCUUCAAAGAAUAUACAAUGACGCGGCUAAUUUAUGGAUUUUUCCCGCUUUCACAAGAUUCAUGGCCCCUGCAUCAUAUGCAUUUCUCUGUGUCUUUGCCAUGAUGAGGGUGACAAAAUUACUACCGUAAUCAGAAU